UGGGGAAUCUUCCGCAAUGGACGAAAGUCUGACGGAGCAACGCCGCGUGAGUGAAGACGGCCUUCGGGUUGUAAAGCUCUGUUAUUCGGGAAGAACGAUUCGUUUGUGAACAAUGAACGGAAGUGACGGUACCGAAAGAGAAAGCCACGGCUAACUACGUGCCAGCAGCCGCGGUAAUACGUAGGUGGCAAGCGUUGUCCGGAAUUAUUGGGCGUAAAGAGCGCGUAGGCGGUAUGGUAAGUCUGUCUUAGAAGUGCGGGGCUUAACCCCGUGAGGGGACAGAGACUGUCAUACUGGAGUCUCGGAGAGGAAAGCGGAAUUCCUAGUGUAGCGGUGAAAUGCGUAGAGAUUAGGAAGAACACCGGUGGCGAAGGCGGUUCUCUGGGCCUUUCCUGACGCUGAGAAGCGAAAGCGUGGGGAGCGAACAGG
rnacentral:rRNA from 1 species